CCUACGGGAGACAGCAGUGAGGAAUAUUGGUCAAUGGGCGGGAGCCUGAACCAGCCAAGUCGCGUGAGGGAAGACGGUCCUAUGGAUUGUAAACCUCUUUAGGCGGGGAGCAAUGCCGGGCACGCGUGCCCGGAGGGAGAGUACCCGCAGAAUAAGCAUCGGCUAACUCCGUGCCAGCAGCCGCGGUAAUACGGAGGAUGCGAGCGUUAUCCGGAUUUAGUGGGUUUAAAGGGUGCGUAGGCGGAUUUUUAAGUCAGCGGUAAAAUGUCCGGGCUCAACCCGGGCCGGCCGUUGAAACUGGGGAUCUUGAGUGGGCGAGAAGUAUGCGGAAUGCGUGGUGUAGCGGUGAAAUGCAUAGAUAUCACGCAGAACUCCGAUUGCGAAGGCAGCAUACCGGCGCCCGACUGACGCUGAGGCACGAAAGCGUGGGGAUCGAACAGGAUUAGAUACCCUAGUAGUC
rnacentral:rRNA from 1 species